GACGAACGCUGGCGGCGUGCUUAACACAUGCAAGUCGAACGGAAAGGCCCCCAUCUUGGUGGGGGUGCGCGAGUGGCGAACGGGUGAGUAACACGUGGGUGAUCUGCCUUGUACUUCGGGAUAAGCUUGGGAAACUGGGUCUAAUACCGGAUAGGAUCAUGGUUUAGUGUGUCCUGGAGGAAAGAUCGUUGUUUUUGUGCAGGAUGAGCUCGGGGCCUGUUAGUUUGUUGGUGGGGUAAUGGCCUGCCAAGGCGUCGGAGGGUGACCGGCCUGAGAGGGUGGCCGCCCACAUUGGGAGUGAGACACGGGCCAGACUCGGAAGGGAGCCGGCAGUGAGGAAUAGUGCAGAAUGGGCGCAUGCCGGAUGCAGCGACGCCGCGUGGGGGAUGACGGCCGUCGGGUUGUAAACUCUUUUCGUUAGGAACGAAGGCGCACUUUUUUUGGGUGUGGUGGCCGGUACUUUGUUAAGAAGCACCGGCUAACUACGUG
rnacentral:rRNA from 1 species